UACGGAGGGUGCAAGCGUUGUCCGGAAUCACUGGGCGUAAAGGGCGCGUAGGCGGCUCAUGAAGGCUGUGGUGAAAGUCCGGGGCUCAACCUCGGAUCGGCCGUGGCGACUCGUGGGCUGGAGCACUGUAGAGGCGGGUGGAAUUCCGGGUGUAGCGGUGGAAUGCGUAGAGAUCCGGAAGAACACCAGUGGCGAAGGCGCCCGCUGGGCAGUGGCUGACGCUGAGGCGCGACAGCGUGGGGGAGCAAACAGG
rnacentral:rRNA from 1 species